UGAACGCUGGCGGCAUGCUUUACACAUGCAAGUCGAACGGCAGCGCGGGCUUCGGCCUGGCGGCGAGUGGCGAACGGGUGAGUAAUACAUCAGAACGUGCCCAGUAGUGGGGGAUAGCUCGGCGAAAGCCGGAUUAAUACCGCGUACGACCUGAGGGUGAAAGCGGGGGAUCUUCGGACCUCGCGCUAUUGGAGCGGCCGAUGGCAGAUUAGCUAGUUGGUGGGGUAAAGGCCUACCAAGGCGACGAUCUGUAGCUGGUCUGAGAGGACGACCAGCCACACUGGGACUGAGACACGGCCCAGACUCCUACGGGAGGCAGCAGUGGGGAAUUUUGGACAAUGGGCGAAAGCCUGAUCCAGCAAUGCCGCGUGUGUGAUGAAGGCCUUCGGGUUGUAAAGCACUUUUGGCGGGAACGAAAAGGACUGUGCCAAUACCACGGUUCGAUGACGGUACCCGCAGAAUAAGCACCGGCUAACUACGUG
rnacentral:rRNA from 1 species